AGCGGAAGUGAAAAAGGAUUUAUCAGGCUCACCACGUCGUUCGCGUUUUAUUCUACAAGAAAAAGACAGGAGGAGAAAAUCGCCUUCAGCCCCUUCUCUCCGCCUCGUCCUCCUCUCCGGCGCCGCCACACCACCCCCUCUAUCCAGCGGUGUCGCCUCUCCUCCCUGGUGCGUGAGCCGCCGCCUCGCCGGCGCCCCUCCUCCUCCUCCUAUCUUCUGCCGUCUCGCCGCUGCAGUCGUCCCCGUGAGCAAGCUAUCCAGGCUAGGGUUCAUCGGAAAGAUAUGAAAAAAAAUCCCCAUUCCCUCCGCUGUCUACUAUGCCCCGCUGCCCACCUACUCUUCCUCUCUGCAGCAUCUUGUUCAUCCUCGACGCAGAAGGAUAUCGUGGACUGCAGAGACGCCCUGCCGCCGUGCUCCUUUUUGUUGAUCCCCUUCCAUCUGAUUGGCCAAUGAGGGAAGGUCCAAGAGGUCUGCGGUGGGAUUGGAGCAGCGAGGUCGGAGACCCAGGCGGUGGACGCCUCAUCGGGUAGAGGAGAGGUUGACAGUACGGACAAGGAGCAGUAGUGUCAUGGAUCUGCAGGGGAAGCGUCAUCGAGGGAUGGCUGGUGUCAAGAGAUGAAGGUACGCCAAUAUGAGGAGCAUGUGCAACUCAAGAUUUUAGUACAAGAUCUUGAAAGUAAGUAUGGAAGGAAUCAUUGCCUCUGUGCUUAGCUUUACUUGUUGAUUUCAGCUACAAUGCCUCUUUUUGACGUGUCUCUGCUACCGUAGUUGAUUUUUUCAUGCUCCCUGUUGUUUUACUCAUCAUAUGGUACAUGCAUAUUAGGUCGUAGACUACCACCUGUUUUAUCCAUCCAAACCAUGUUGAACGUUGACAAUACUCUGAUAUUUCAUCUUCGAAUUGGUCUGUUUUUUAGGCAGAUUCAAACUAUUAUUUUCCAAAUUUCUAAAGGUGAAAGUAUUAUGACCUUGGCCAUGUUUGUAGAAAUAAAUUUGGGAAUAUUGUUUAAAUAUGGCACUGCAAUAAAUGGUAUUGGGUUAACAGUUAGUACAAUACAUUCAGUUUGGGCUGAAUGCCAGAAUGUUACCGAGACAUCGAGACUUGAAGAAUCUGACUCUACUUUUAACAUUUCUUUGGGAUGCAGAGAGGAGCUUACAGACCUUAAUAAACAAGAACGUGGUAUUAUGUGAUCUUGCUAACCUUUAUUGCUCUACAGGAUCAACCUGAUCUCUUUCUGCACAUCAGGUUCCUGUCGCCGCUGUUGUCAUAAUGGCUUGCAAUCGACCAGACUAUUUGCAGAGGACAGUUGAUCUAUCCUCAAUUACGCUCUGUUUUCUCCAUCCCUUCAUUUCCCAAAAGAAGAAAAAUUCCGCCGUCUGCUGUUUCGUUUAAUGGCACCCAGAGCACAUUCAGUUGAUGACACCUGUCACUUAUAUGUGAAAAAAAUUUAAUCAAGUUGCACUCUUUAUCACCUCACCAGUCAUACAACAUCUCUUAGGAAACUUGUAUAGUAUUACUCCCUAAUCUUUUUAUGAAGCUAUUUGCUUCUUCCAUAUCUAUGUAGCUUCAGUUUGUAGAACACCCUUCCUGACUAAAUAAAUAAUGGAUGAUAACUCUUCCAGGUUCCAGAAAGCAGUUGCCUCAAAGUUUCUACUUUUUAUAUCACAAGUAUUGCUAAUAGCAAUUUCAGUUCUUGUUCUCAGUCACUUUAAGUGUGUAUGAAGAAUAUUUUUACAUUGCUUCUUCCAAUCGCAGGAUGGAACAAAUGGAGAAGUGAAAAAGAAAGCUUUGAGUUACACUUAAAUAACAUUUAUGCAGGACGUGUCCAAUGCGGCGCUACUUGCCUAUCGUGAAUCGUGAGCUUUGUUGGCAUUGCUGGUUCAGGAAGAGUUUGACGCCGCUCGACAUUUUCGCCUCAAAAAUAAAAAGAGUCUGACGCCUACCAAUUCUCCUGCCAAGGAUACUCCUAUCGACGGUGGAUCGACAAUUUGAGGUCACCGAAUGAAAUUGAAAAUAAACAGCUGACUUUGGGAUAACUCAUUGCAUCCAUGAUCCACAUGAUAUUCAUGCUGAGGCUGCAAAGAAGAGGCGCCGCACCACCAAGAGGCCAUAUAGAAAUAAGUUGUUAACAUGCAAGCUGGCUGAAGGAUAGUCUUAGCAAGUGACAUCCCAAUGACAGAAAAACGAAGAUUAUUUACAAUAGCAUUCCGGCCUGGCGGAAGGGAAUGAAGAUGUACACCGCCAGGAAGAAAAAUCCAGAAGGACAAGGGCAUCGAGCCCUCCGAAUUCGAGGAUGCCAUCGCGUGGGCUGCAAAUAAUCUUGUAGCUGCGACGGCAGUGGCACCUUCAGUUCUUGCUUGCAGGGCACCUACUGCAGAUACACCUUCUAGAUCAGGUAUGUAUCAUAUGGCUGUUUGUCUCUCCAGCACACACAUGAACUACAACCUUAAUCCUGCCCAGUGAGUUGUUAUGUGAUUAGAGUCCUCCCAUCUGGGUGCCACCGUCGUCGUCGCACGCGGUGUCGGAGACAUGGACGAGGUCAAGCAGUCUCUGCCUUUGUCUUCUUCCCUCGCUGUGAGGAGCUGAGGAUACAGACGAGGAGGCAAGGAAACUGUGGCAUCUUCAUCGUCGUUCUCUCAGCGCGCUGUGUUGAAGAGAUGGCCAAAGGAGGCUGGGAGCUGAAAGUGCGGCACACUGUAGUAGUUUGAUGGGGAACUAUCUUUGUAUGCCAGCAUAUUUGUAGUGGUUUGUUUGAUGGGAACUACCUUUAUAUGUCCGCAUAUUUUGCUUAUGUAUUAAUGAUUCCAUGCUAAAUUUCUACUCCUUACUAAAAGAAUAAAUUGUCAGUGCAACAA